GGAGAGGUGGCCGAGUGGUUUAAGGCAACAGUCUUGAAAACUGUCAUAGGUGAAAGCUUAUCGCGAGUUCGAAUCUCGCCCUCUCCG
rnacentral:tRNA from 1 species